rnacentral:rRNA from 1 species
CUUGGUCAUUUAGAGGAAGUAAAAGUCGUAACAAGGUUUCCGUAGGUGAACCUGCGGAAGGAUCAUUAAUGAGAACUAAGGGUAGUAGUCUCGGCUACUACUCUGAACACUCCACCCUUUGUUUAUAUUACCUUUGUUGCUUUAGCAGGCCCGCUCUCGAGCCGCCGGCACCUGCUGGCCAGUGCCUGCUAAAGAACCUAAAACUCUUGUUAAUAAUAUUGUCUGAGUACUAUAUAAUAGUUAAAACUUUCAACAACGGAUCUCUUGGUUCUGGCAUCGAUGAAGAACGCAGCGAAAUGCGAUAAGUAAUGUGAAUUGCAGAAUUCAGUGAAUCAUCGAAUCUUUGAACGCACAUUGCGCCCCUUGGUAUUCCGAGGGGCAUGCCUGUUCGAGCGUCAUUUUGACCAACUCCUAUUCAUAUAGGGUCUUGGACUUCGCCUCUGGGCGGGUCUCAAAAUCAGUGGCGGUGCUGUUAGGCUCUACGCGUAGUAAUACUCCUCGCGACAGAAAGUAACAGUUGCUAGCCUAAUCCCAACUUUCUAGGUUGACCUCGGAUCAGGUAGGGAUACCCGCUGAACUUAAGCAUAUCAAUAAGCGGAGGAAAAGAAACCAACAGGGAUUACCUCAGUAACGGCGAGUGAAGCGGUAACAGCUCAAAUUUGAAAUCUGGCUCUUUCAGGGUCCGAGUUGUAAUUUGUAGAAGAUGCUUUGGGUGUGGCUCCGGUCUAAGUUCCUUGGAACAGGACGUCAUAGAGGGUGAGAAUCCCGUAUGUGACUGGCUGCCUUCGCCUAUGUAAAGCUCUUUCGACGAGUCGAGUUGUUUGGGAAUGCAGCUCUAAAUGGGAGGUAUAUUUCUUCUAAAGCUAAAUAUUGGCCAGAGACCGAUAGCGCACAAGUAGAGUGAUCGAAAGAUGAAAAGCACUUUGGAAAGAGAGUUAAACAGUACGUGAAAUUGUUGAAAGGGAAGCGCUUGCAACCAGACUUGUCUGGUGCUGAUCAUCCUGGGUUCUCCCUGGUGCACUCAGUACUAUGCAGGCCAGCAUCGGUUUUGGUGGUGGGAUAAAGGCCUUGGGAAUGUGACUCUUUCGGGAGUGUUAUAGCCCUCGGUGCAAUGCCGCCUACCGGGACCGAGGACCGCGCUUCGGCUAGGAUGCUGGCGUAAUGGUUGUAAGCGACCCGUCUUGAAACACGGACC